rnacentral:rRNA from 1 species
GACGAACGCUGGCGGCGUGCUUAACACAUGCAAGUCGAACGAAGUGGCGAACGGGUGAGUAACGCGUAAUCAACCUGCCCUUCAGAGGGGGACAACAGAUGGAAACGACUGCUAAUACCGAAUACUGAAGGAGGGGAUUGCGUCGGAUUAGCUAGUGGGGGGGGUACCGGCCCACCAAGGCGAUGAUCAGUAGCCGUUCGGAGAGGAUGAACGGCGACAUUGGGACUGAGACACGGCCCAGGCGCCUACGGGAGGCAGCAGUGGGGAAGCUGCCGCAAUGGACGAAAGUCGGACGGAGCAACGCCGCGGGAGUGAUGACGGCCUUCGGGUUGUAAAGCUCUGUUAAUCGGGACGCGGUACCGGAAUAGAAAGCCACGGCUAACUACGUGCCAGCCGCCGCGGUAAUAC